AUUGAACGCUGGCGGCAGGCUUAACACAUGCAAGUCGAACGGUAACAGGAAACAGCUUGCUGUUUCGCUGACGAGUGGCGGACGGGUGAGUAAUGUCUGGGAAACUGCCCGAUGGAGGGGGAUAACUACUGGAAACGGUAGCUAAUACCGCAUAACGUCGCAAGACCAAAGAGGGGGACCUUCGGGCCUCUUGCCAUCGGAUGUGCUCAGAUGGGAUUAGCUAGUAGGUGGGGUAACAGCUCACCUAGGCGACGAUCCCUAGCUGGUCUGAGAGGAUGACCAGCCACACUGGAACUGAGACACGGUCCAGACUCCUACGGGAGGCAGCAGUGGGGAAUAUUGCACAAUGGGCGCAAGCCUGAUGCAGCCAUGCCGCGUGUAUGAAGAAGGCCUUCGGGUUGUAAAGUACUUUCAGCGGGGAGGAAGGGAGUAAAGUUAAUACCUUUGCUCAUUGAC
rnacentral:rRNA from 1 species